rnacentral:rRNA from 1 species
GUGGUUAUAGCGUUGGGGAAACACCCGGUCCCAUUCCGAACCCGGUAGUUAAGCCCUUCUGCGCCGAUGGUACUGC